GACGUAGGGGGCGAGCGUUAUCCGGAUUCAUUGGGCGUAAAGGGCGCGUAGGCGGCUCCCAGCAGUGGCGUGGGGAAUCCCCCGGCUCAACCGGGGGGGGCCGCGCCAGACGGGGGAGCUCGAGGUGGGUAGAGGGUCGCGGAACGGGCGGAGUAGGGGUGAAAUCCGUAGAGACCGUCCGGAACACCGUUAGCGAAGGCGGCGACCUGGGCCCAUCCUGACGCUGAGGCGCGAAAGCGUGGGGAGCGAACGGA
rnacentral:rRNA from 1 species